GCGCCGCGCUGCGCGCAGACAUAGCAGCUCAUCUACCGCUCAGGGCCUUGGGAGCCCCAGAGUGCACGACUGUUAUGAAUAUUUGGGUGAGGAAGCUAAACUCGCGGUCUGCUCCGGCAGCCACAGGCUGAAGGAACACUGGGAUCUGGGCAGCACCCCGAUACGUGAUAAGCGAGUUAGGAAGUCACCACAGCUCUGCAGCUGAGCCCCAAAUAAUCCACUGCAUUGUCCUGUGCCUUUCUCCAAAUGAACUCAACAGUCUCCUGAGGCUGACACAAACAGAGCUGUCAAGUGCUGUCAGAAUGAGAAACCGCCAG
rnacentral:lncRNA from 1 species